rnacentral:tRNA from 1 species
GAUUUCGUAGUGUAGCCGCUAUCACAUCUGUCUAACACACAGAAGGUCGGCGGUUCGAGUCCGCCCGAGAUCA